rnacentral:rRNA from 1 species
GACGAACGCUGGCGGCGUGCCUAAUACAUGCAAGUUGAGCGAUGAAGAUUGGUGCUUGCACCAAUUUGAAGAGCAGCGAACGGGUGAGUAACGCGUGGGGAAUCUGCCUUUGAGCGGGGGACAACAUUUGGAAACGAAUGCUAAUACCGCAUAACAACUUUAAACAUAAGUUUUAAGUUUGAAAGAUGCAAUUGCAUCACUCAAAGAUGAUCCCGCGUUGUAUUAGCUAGUUGGUGAGGUAAAGGCUCACCAAGGCGAUGAUACAUAGCCGACCUGAGAGGGUGAUCGGCCACAUUGGGACUGAGACACGGCCCAAACUCCUACGGGAGGCAGCAGUAGGGAAUCUUCGGCAAUGGACGAAAGUCUGACCGAGCAACGCCGCGUGAGUGAAGAAGGUUUUCGGAUCGUAAUACUCUGUUGGUAGAGAAGAACGUUGGUGAGAGUGGAAAGCUCAUCAAGUGACGGUAACUACCCAGAAAGGGACGGCUAACUACGU